rnacentral:rRNA from 1 species
AAACUAGGAUUAGAUACCCUACUAUUAAGAGAAAAAUAUUGUUAGUAUAUAAAUAUUAUGAAAACAAAAAAUUAUGGCGGUAUUUUAAGCUUUUCAGAGGAAUUUGCUCUAUAAUGGAUAAAACACCAAUAUCUUACUAAAAUUAGUUAAGCAGCUUGUAUACCACUAUUUAAGUAAUAAUUUAUUAUUAUUACUGGAAUCUAUUAUAAUAGAAAAAGUUAAGUCAAGGUGCAGCAUAAGUUUUAGAAUGAAGUGAAUUACAUUUCUUAAAAGAAAAUAAAAUGAAAAUAAGGUUUAGGAUUUGAAAGUAAAAUUUUAAUAAAAUGAAAAUUUGAAUUUAGCUCUAAAAUAUGUACACAUCGCCCGUCGCUCUCAUU